AUGGCGGGAGGCAGCUCUUCCAGCGCUGGCUCCUCGGCUGGCCCCUCAGGUGGUCGCGGCCACGGCGAUCGCCUCUCUGAUCGCGCCCUGGACGCCACCCCUCCGUCGGCCCCCUCCUUUGGCCGCGGGCGCGGUGACCGCUCUGGUGACGGCGGUGACCGUGGACGCGGGCAUGGGCGCGGUCGCGACCGAGGACGCGGUGACCACUCUGGGCGCGGUCACCAGGCGGCUACCUUCUCCCCCUUUACGGGGUACUUCGCCCCCUACGGGAUGACGCUCUCGUCGCCCCGCUCUGGCUGGAUCCCGCCCAACGCCGCCGGUGUUCUUGGACCCCGCCCCGGCGCCCAUGCUCAGGCGUACCACGCCUUCACGCCGUCUCCGGUGCCAUCUACUCCGUACUAUCAGCCACCGCAGCCGUCAUGGGACCAUCUCGCCAUGCUCAACGCCGCCUUCAGCAACGGCGGCUACGCCAGGCCCCCGGCCCCCGAGUGGUACCUCGACAGCGGCACAUCUUCGCACGUGACAGGCACCCAAGGUAAUCUGACCUCGUCAAGUUCUUCAUUUUCGCAUUUACCCUCUAGCAUUGUUGUCGGUAAUGGGCAUUCUCUUCCUGUCACUGCCACGGGCUCUACCACCCUCUCCUCUCAUGAUUUUCGCCUCACUGACAUUCUUGUCUCCCCCAAUGUCAUUACUAGCCUCAUAUCCGUUCGUAAAUUUACUAAAGAUAAUUCUUGCUCUAUUGAAUUUUACCCGUGUGGUUUUCUUGUGAAGGAUCUUCACACUCAACGAGUUCUCAUGAUCUCCGUUAGCCACGGCGAUCUCUACCCCUUCGUUGGCACUAAACCGGCACCGGCGUCUGCUCUCCUCGCCACCACCACCUCGGACUUGUGGCAUCGCCGCCUUGGGCAUCCCAGAGCACACACCUUUUCCUCACUCGCCCAACACUUUCUUAAUGAUUGUAAUAAGGCUCCCCACACCCCAUGUAAUGCGUGCCAACUUGGGCGCCAACCCCGUUUACCUUUUCCAUCCUCCUUUAGUAAAACAUAUGCUCCUUUUGAUUUAAUUCAUUGUGACUUGUGGACAUCACCCGUUGUUAGCUUUUCUGGGUUCCAAUAUUAUCUUGUCGUGCUUGAUGAUUUUACGCAUUACUCGUGGACAUUUCCUCUUCGCAACAAAUCUGACACCUCCACUGUGCUUCAACGCUUUUUUACGUUUGUGCACACAUAA
rnacentral:rRNA from 1 species